rnacentral:rRNA from 1 species
ACGGCUCAGUAACACGUCGAUAAUCUGCCCUAAGAUUGGGGAUAACCUCGGGAAACUGAGGGUAAAACCUGAUAGGGGAAAGAAACUGGAAUGUUCUUUCCUUAAAAAGCAAUGUCUUAGGAUGAGUCGGCGGCCGAUUAGGUAGUUGGCGAGGUAACGGCUCACCAAGCCGAAGAUCGGUAAGGGCCUUGAAAGAGGUAACCCUGAGAGGGGCACUGAGACACUGGCCCCAGCCCUACGGGGUGCAGCAGGCGCGAAAACUUUACAAUGCACGAAAGUGUGAUAAGGGAACCCCAAGUGCUAAUACAUUAGUAUUGGCUUUUGCCAAGAGCAAAUAUCUUGGCGAAUAAGUGGUGGGCAAGACUGGUGCCAGCCGCCGCGGUAACACCAGCGCCACGAGUGGGAAUCGCAUAUUUGGUCUAAAGCGUCCGUAGCUGGUUAUGUAAAUCUUUUGUGAAAUCGUUGUGGCUUAACCCAACGAAGUGCAGAAGACACUGCAUGUCUUGGGACCAGGAGGGGUUAGAAGUAUUCUUGGGGGAGCGGUAAAAUGUUAUAAUCCUAAGAAGACUACCUGUGGCGAAGGCGUCUAACCAGAAUGGAUCCGACAGUGAGGGACGAAGGCAAGGGGAGCAAACCGGAUUAGAUACCCGAGUAGUCCUUGCCGUAAACGCUACGAGCUAGGUGUUGCAUAUUCUUUGAGAAUAUGCAGUGUCGAAAUGAAGGUGUUAAGCUCGUCACCUGGGAAGUAUGGUCGCAAGACUGAAACUUAAAGGAAUUGGCGGGGGAGCAC